AUUGAACGCUGGCGGCAGGCCUAACACAUGCACGUCGCACGAGUGGCGGACGGGUGAGUAAUGUCUGGGAAACUGCCUGAUGGAGGGGGAUAACUACUGGAAACGGUAGAUAAUACCGCAUACCAUCGGAUCUGCUCAGAUGGGAUUAGCUAGUAGGUGGGGUAACGGCUCCCCUAGGCGACGCUCCCUAGCUGGUCUGAGAGGAUGACCAGCCACACGUGAACUGAGACAGGGGCCAGACGCCUACGCGAGGCAGCAGUGGGGAAUAUUACACAAUGGGGGCAAGCCUGCUGGAGCCAUGCCGCGUGUAUGAAGAAGGCCUUCGGGUUGUAAAGUACUUUCAGCGGGGAGGCGUUACCCGCAGAAGAAGCACCGGCUAACUCCGGGCCAGCCGCCGCGGUAAUUC
rnacentral:rRNA from 1 species